UGAGGUUGAUUUUCAUUGUCCAAGCACCUCAAAUUUUCAUAAGUAAAAUGGCUGCAUUGAGUUGUACUUCCAUGCCACUUAAUUAGUGUGUUUGGUAAUCCGCCUUCAUCAAGAUCAGCCAUGAAUCCAAGGUAACCUGCCUUCAAGAUCAGCUAUAAAUUCACGCUUGAAAAAUGUGGCGACCAAGUGUUCAGAUGCAACGAAUGCAUCUUCAGAUGCUCCUCUGGAGGUCAUACGGCAUUUUCAUCCUAGUGUGUGGGAGGGUCAUGACUUCGCCUUAGCUCCUAUGAGUGGUGAUUUGGUAAGUUUAAUCUUGUGAAUUGUGAUCAUAUCAAGAAAUGCCACAAAUAAAUUUGUUGUUGAACAACUGAUACACAAAUUUAUAGCAAUCUUAAGACAUAAUCUUGUUUUAAUUUUCGAAUACUUAUCAAUCCAUCAUAUAUAUAUAUAUAUGAAGUGUUGUGAUAAUUUAUCUUAAUCGAAUUGAAUGAAGAUUGACUAGAGGAGGCUCAAAGAAUUGUAAAAGGAAGUGAAAAAACAUGUUAUUUUUAGCUGCUGCUGAUUCAUUUCAAGAAUUAAAUUAAAUCUGAUCGAUAAAAUUCAACGGCUUGGGGUUGCAUACCACUUUAACGAUGAGAUUCUACAGCGGACUCACAAUGAUGAUCUAUAUGAAAAUAUUGACAAGAAUGAACAUGCGGAUAUGUGUUAUGUUUCUCUACCGUUUCGACUGUUGAGUGUUGAGGCAGGCUGGGGACGUACUAUGUCUUAAGUCUCAACUGGUAAUAAAAAUAUGGUUAAUUUCUUCACCUAAUUAUUUUAUGCACAUAUUGUAUAUUUAAUUGUUUUGAUUCUAAACUUAAGAUUUAUUCUAAACAGAUGUCUUUAAAAAGUUCAAAGAUGAGAAAGGUGAAUUCCAUGCAAACUAAUUGGCAUCUGAUGUACAAGCAUUGUUAACCCUAUAUAUGAAGCUCUACCCUUUGCAUUACAAGUACAACAUGCCCUAACGAUGCCUCUUCCAAGGAAACCUGAAAGGGUAUAUGCAAUAUUGAUGUAAGAGACAGAGUGGUGGAAGCUUACACUAAUUGUAUACUAUGUGAACUAGUCUUUAGGCCCGUGUGAUACACGGGCAGAUCUGAUUGUUUUAGAGUUUUGUUUUUGGG
rnacentral:lncRNA from 1 species